rnacentral:rRNA from 1 species
AGCGCGAACGCUGGCGGCAUGGCUAAAACAUGCAAGUCGAACGCGAAAGGUAGCAAUACCGAGUAGAGUGGCGGAAGGGCGAGGAAUCCGUUUCUAACGUACCCCAAGGUCAGGGAUAACUCAUCGAAAGGUGUGCUAAUACUUGAUGACCCUGCGCGAUCGCAUGAUCGUGCAGGCAAAGGCUUGCUUCCUUGGGAGCGGGGAACGUCCUAUCAGCUAGUUGGUGAGGUAACGGCUCACCAAGGCUAAGACGGGUAACCGGUGUGAGGGCACGGCCGGUCGCAUCGGGACUGAGACACUGCCCGGACUCCUACGGGAGGCUGCAGUAACGAAUAUUCCGCAAUGGACGAAAGUCUGACGGAGCAAUGCCGCGUGCAGGAUGAAGCCCUUCGGGGUGUAAACUGCUGUCAGGGUUUAAGAACACAAUGACUAGACCCAAAGGAAGAGGCGGCUAACUCUGUGCCAGCAGCCGCGGUAAUACAGAGGCCUCGAGCGUUGCGCGGAAUCACUGGGCUUAAAGGGUGCGUAGGCGGAUGUGCAAGUGCCUUGUGAAAUCCCAUGGCUCAACCAUGGAACUGCUUGGUAGACUGCACGUCUUGAGGUCGGUAGAGGUCGCUGGAACGGUUGGUGGAGCGGUGAAAUGCGUAGAUAUCAACCGGAACGCCCAAGGUGAAGACAAGCGACUGGGCCGAAUCUGACGCUGAGGCACGAAAGCGUGGGGAUCAAACGGGAUUAGAUACCCCGGUAGUCCACGCCCUAAACGAUGUACACUAGAUCGUAGAGGCUCUGACGCCCCUAUGGUCGAAUAGAAAUUACUUAGUGUA